GGAUAUGUGACUGAGUGGUUUAAAGUGUAUUAUUUGAGCUAAUAUAAUCGUAAGAUUCGUGCGUUCGAAUCGCACCAUAUCCG
rnacentral:tRNA from 1 species